rnacentral:rRNA from 1 species
GACGAACGCUGGCGGCGUGCUUAACACAUGCAAGUCGUGCGGUAAGGCCCUUUCGGGGGUCCACGGACGUCAACGGGGUGAGUAACACUUAAGCAACCUGCCCUUCCCUUUGGGAUAACGGCCGCAACCGGUGGCUAAUACCGGUACUGACUUCUUCACGCAUGUGGGUGGUUGAAAAGCCUUCGGGGGGUGGGGGCUGGGUUCGCGGUCUAUCCGCUCGUUGUUGGGGUGUUGGCCUACCAAGGGUUUGACGGGUAGCCGGCCUGAGAGGGGGACCGGCCACCAGGGGACUGAGAGAGGGCCCAGAAGGCUACGGGAGGCAGCGGGGGGGAAUAUGGGACAAUGGGCGAAAGCCUGAGCCAGAAACGCCGGGUGAGGGAUGACGGCCUUCGGGGUGUAAACCUAUGUCGCAUGCGACGAAGCGAGAGUGACGGUAGCAGGUAAAGAAGCACCGGCCAACUACGUG